GAUGAACGCUGGCGGCGUGCCUAAUACAUGCAAGUCGAGCGAACAGACGCGGAGCUUGCUCCUUCGACGUUAGCGGCGGACGGGUGAGUAACACGUAGGUAACCUACCUAUAAGACUGGGAUAACUUCGGGAAACCGGAGCUAAUCCCGGAUAAUAUUUCGAACCGCAUGGUUCGAUAGUGAAAGAUGGCUUUGCUAUCACUUCUAGAUGGACCUGCGCCGUAUUAGCUAGUUGGUAAGGUAACGGCUUACCAAGGCAACGAUACGUAGCCGACCUGAGAGGGUGAUCGGCCACACUGGAGCUGAGACAGGGUCCAGACUCCUACGGGAGGCAGCAGUAGGGAAUCUUCCGCAAUGGGCGAAAGCCUGACGGAGCAACGCCGCGUGAGUGAUGGAGGUCUUCGGAUCGUAAAACUCUGUUAUUAGGGAAGAACAAACGUGGAAGUAACUGUGCACGUCUUGACGGUACCUAAUCAGAAAGCCACGGCUAACUACGUG
rnacentral:rRNA from 1 species